rnacentral:rRNA from 1 species
UCUUGAAGGUUAUAUGAAUAUAUAUAUACUUAUGCAGUAAUAAAUUUUAUAUAUUUAGGUUACUUUGAAUUAGUUAUUAUUAUUAAUCAUUGAUUAAAUAUGUGCCAGCAAUCGCGGUUAUACAUUGGAUGAAAGUAAAUAUUAUUAGUUAUUAUGGUUAUUUUUUUUUCUUUAAUAUAUAUAUUGAUUAUUAUUUGGGUGAAAUUAUUAAUUUUUGUUUAUUUAUUAUUUUAUUAUUUAAGAUGACCAUGAAAUUUAAAAUAAAUAAACUAGGAUUAGAUACCCUAUUAUUUUUUAUAUAAAUAUUAGAACUUGGGUAGUAUUAGUUUUUCUUGAAACUUAAAGAAUUUGGCGGUGUUUUAUUUCUUUUUAGAGGAAUCUGUUCCUUAAUCGAUAAACCACGAUGUACCUUACUUUUUAUAUUAAGUUUGUAUAUCGCCGUUGUUGAAAAUUUUUAUAUUUUAUUAUUUUUAUUUUAUUGGGUUAUUUAGAGAUUUUAUUGAAUGGAUUUAAUUAUUUUUUUAUUAUUUGAUAUUAUUUUAUAAUUAGUAAAUUGAUUAUUUAUAUAUAUAUAUUAAUUAUUUUAUAUGAAUUAGGCAAAUUUUAUAUUCGANNNNNNNNNNNNNNNNNNNNNNNNNNNNNNNNNNNNNNNNNNNNNNNNNNNNNNNNUUGUUUCUAUGAUUUUAUUUGAAGUAUAAUCUGCCCACUGAUGUAUUUAAUGGCCGCGGUAAUUUGACCGUGCAAAGGUAGCAUAAUCAUUAGUCUUUUAAUUGGGGACUGGAAUGAAUGAUUGAACGAGAUAUAUACUAUAUUUAUUUUAUUUUUAUUGAAUUUGAUUAUUUAGUUAAAAGGCUAUAAUUUUGUUAUGGGACGAGAAGACCCUAUAGAGUUUUAUAAUAAUAAUAAUAAUUAUGUUGUUUAAUUAUUUUAUUAUUAUUAUUAUUUGGUUGGGGUGAUUAUAAGAUAUAAAUAACUCUUUUAAUUUAUUUAUAUAUUGUUAUAUAAAUUUUUGAUCCUUUUUUUUGAUUAUAAGAUUAAAUUACCUUAGGGAUAACAGCAUUAUUUUUCUUUAGAGUUCUUAUUGACAGAUAAGAUUGUGACCUCGAUGUUGGAUUAAGAUAAAUUUUGGGUGUAGAUUUUCAAAUUAAUUAAGUCUGUUCGACUUUUAAAAUCUUACAUGAUCUGAGUUCAAACCGGUUUAAGCCAGGUUGGUUUCUAUCUAUAAUUUAUUAAAUAUUUUAGUACGAAAGGACCAAAUAUUUUAAAUAAUUUAUUUAUUUAAUGUAUAUUAUUAAUAUACUAUUUUGGCAGAUAAGUGUAAUAAAUUUAGAAUUUAUUAAUGUAGGAGAUUUUCUAUAG